CUUGAUCUUGAGGCACUCAUGUGUAUUGCUUUUCUUCCUAGAGAAAUACAUGUCUAUUGAUUAUUAUUGGAAUUGGUUUGAAGAAACAGAGUAUGAUCUUCUUUCACAAGUAGUGAUCAUAAAACAACAGGGAGAGGCGUUUUAGCUCCCGGAGGGUGUUUCAGCGGUGUGCUCGAGGACGAGUGUUGACAGCGCGGGUGUCCGAUUUCCAGCGGCGCAGACAUGGCGAUGGAUUUCUCCAUCUCUCCGGUAGACAGGUUGCCCAUCUUCCCGGAUGAGGCGGCUAGCGUGGUGGCCCUAAUGGAUUUGAUUGCGGGCGAAGAGGAAUCCGCCAAUAGAUCUUGUGGGGCUGUUGUCGCCGGAUUUGCGCAUGGCUCAUCUGGGCAGUUCAUACGUGGUGUUGUGUGCAGCAAGGAGAGGACUGUAGCUACCGGUGGCGCCGCCAUGUCCGGUUUCAGUGAGAGCGAGGGUGACAGCGCAGAUGCAAUUGACCAAGCCGACGACCAAAGCACAUAUUGAUGAACACCAAGAGGCUGUGAUUCAAGAUCUAGUUAUGGAGGGUCUGCUCAAUCUACUACUUGCAAGGUGGAUCCGCAAGCCCCUGGGUGGACUUAGAGAGUAAGAGUCGGGAAUCAGCCAACGGAUAGAGCCCCAUGCCCAGAAAGAUUAGGCGCGCUGGAGGAGACAAUUCGAGGGCAUGCAGAUAAAUUGGGGGACCAUGUAGUUGAGCCUGCUAUUGGCUUAACAUUCGACUCCUUGGGGGAUGCAUAUGAUUUUUGCAACCUUUAUUCGUGGGAGCAUGGUUUUGGUAUCAGGACACCCUGUCCCAGCGGGCUCGGCACACUCUCCGCUCCGCUGAAAUUACAGGACAGCCUGUCCCAGCAGGCUCGACACUCUCCGCUCUGCUGAAAUUACAGGACCGGACACUAUGUCUGGGACUGGGAAGAAUUGGUGCACUGGAGCAAAUGAUUUAGGGGUAUACAGAUUAGUUGGGUGAGCACGGUGCUAUUGGGCUAACACUAGACUCUAUGUAAGAAACCUAUGGUUUUUACAAUCUUUAUUCAUGGAAGC